UUGUUUCUCCAUCCCAUCCCGUGUUUCUCCAUGUCUUUCAAUCAUCUACUGGCACUCUGCUAGUACUGGUGAGGUGGGCUAUAACAGGAAGCCCCAGACUCAUGGGGAUCCCAAUAGAUGUUGGUGUCACAGUUGGGAAACCCAAGUCUGCUGCUUCUCAGCGCACAUGGCUCGUGGCUCACAACAACCUGCACCCCAGCUGCUUCUCAGUGCACAUGGCUCGUGGCUCACAACAACCUGCACCCCAGCUCUGGAAUCCGAUGCCAAAUUCUGGCCUCCGUUUGUACUGCACUCACAUACUAGCAAGGAUGCGUGCAAAAUUAAAUAUAAAAGCAACACCUUAAAAAUAAAACACAUCCCUAACUCAUCAGUGAAGACACUGAAAACUUACAGAUGAUCUUGUCACUAUGGAGCAUUGGGGUGACACCUGGGGCAAAGGUCGUGUGUGGGGAAGUAGCAGCAAUGGACUAACGGAUGCUACUAACCUACGAAAGAAGGAGACAGUGAUUCUGAACCAGUGUGCUGGUGAAGGCACUGGAAAACUGUAUAAUAACAUCUCAAGGGAACCCCAAGUCCUGAAAAUAAAUAGAAUUCCUGCAUUGAGUCAGAAUUU
rnacentral:lncRNA from 1 species